rnacentral:rRNA from 1 species
UGAGGAAUAUUGGUCAAUGGGCGAGAGCCUGAACCAGCCAAGUCGCGUGAGGGAAGACGGUCCUAUGGAUUGUAAACCUCUUUUGCCGGGGAGCAAAGAGCGGCACGUGUGCCGCGCCGAGAGUACCCGGAGAAAAAGCAUCGGCUAACUCCGUCGCC